AUCCAGCUGACGAGUCCCAAAUAGGAGGAAACGCGCAUCCUAGAU
rfam:Schistosoma mansoni strain Puerto Rico chromosome 1, complete genome